GACAGAGGUGCCGAGCGUUAGGCGGAAUCACUGGGCUUAAAGCGUGUGUAGGCGGGCGAUCAAGUACCUUGUGAAAUCCCACGGCUCAACCGUGGAACCGCUGGGUAUACUGGUUGUCUUGAGCCGGCUAGGGGCGAGCGGAACAGACGGUGGAGCGGUGAAAUGCGUAGAUAUCGUCUGGAACGCCGAAGGUGAAAACAGCUCGCUGGGGCCGCGCUGACGCUGAGACACGAAAGCCAGGGGAGCGAACGGGAUUAGAUACCCCGGUAGUCCUGGCCCUAAACGAUGUCCACUAGAUCGCUGGACUUUUGACGGUCUGGCGGUCGAAGCCAAAGUGCUAAGUGGACCGCCUGGGAAGUACGGUCGCAAGGCUAAA
rnacentral:rRNA from 1 species